UACGGAGGGUGCGAGCGUUGUCCGGAAUCACUGGGCGUAAAGGGCGCGUAGGUGGCGCGAGGAGUCUGUGGUGAAAGCCCGAGGCUCAACUUCGGGUCGGCCGCGGAUACUCUCGUGCUGAAGGGUGGUAGAGGCCAAUGGAAUUCCGGGUGUAGCGGUGGAAUGCGUAGAGAUCCGGAAGAACACCGGUGGCGAAGGCGGUUGGCUGGGCCACACCUGACACUGAGGCGCGACAGCGUGGGGAGCAAACAGG
rnacentral:rRNA from 1 species